CGAUUGUAGUCAUAUGCUUGUCUCAAAGACUAAGCCAUGCAUGUAUAAGUAUAAGAAUCUAUACGACGAGACUGCGAACGGCUCAAUGCACAGUGAUCACCCGCAUGAUGAAAACCAAUUACAUGGAUAACCGUGGUAAUUCUAGAGCUAAUACAUGCUUCCAUCUUCGGAUGGGGUGCUUUAUUAGAUUCAACCAGCGAGGCUAUCUCUGCGAGGGGGUAGUUUUUUAUGGCGAGUCAUGAUAACUGACACGAUCGUAUGACCUCGAGUCGACGACGCAUCAUACGAAACACUGGCCUAUCAACUUUCGAUGGUAGGAUAGGGGCCUACCAUGGUGAUGACGGGAGCGGGGAAUUAGGGUUCGAUUCCGGAGAGGGAGCCUGAGAAACGGCUACCACAUCCAAGGAAGGCAGCAGGCGCGCAAAUUACCCCAUCCCGACACGGGGAGGUAGUGACAAGAAAUACCAGAGCAGGGCUCAAAGAGUGCUGCGAUUGGCAUGAGGCGCCAGUAAAGAGGGCCACGAGGAACGAUUGGAGGGCAAGUCUGGUA
rnacentral:rRNA from 1 species